AGUGAACGCUGGCGGUAGGCCUAACACAUGCAAGUCGAACGGCAGCACAGUAAGAGCUUGCUCUUACGGGUGGCGAGUGGCGGACGGGUGAGGAAUACAUCGGAAUCUACUUUUUCGUGGGGGAUAACGUAGGGAAACUUACGCUAAUACCGCAUACGACCUACGGGUGAAAGCAGGGGAGCUUCGGACCUUGCGCGAUUGAAUGAGCCGAUGUCGGAUUAGCUAGUUGGCGGGGUAAAGGCCCACCAAGGCGACGAUCCGUAGCUGGUCUGAGAGGAUGAUCCGCCACACUGUAACUGAGACACGGUACAGACUCCUACGGGAGGCAGCAGUGGGGAAUAUUGGACAAUGGGCGCAAGCCUGAUCCAGCCAUACCGCGUGGGUGAAGAAGGCCUUCGGGUUGUAAAGCCCUUUUGUUGGGAAAGAAAAGCAGCAGGUUAAUCCCCCGCUGUUCUGACGGUACCCAAAGAAUAAGCCCCGGCUAACUUCGUG
rnacentral:rRNA from 1 species